rnacentral:rRNA from 1 species
UACCUGCAGCUCAAGUAGUGACCGCUAUUAUUGGGCCUAAGACGUUCGUAGCCGGUUUGGUAAAUGCCUGGGUAAAUAGUGUAGCUUAACUAUACGAAUUCCGGGUAGACUGCCAAACUUGAGACCGGGAGAGGCUAGAGGUACUCCUGGGGUAGGGGUGAAAUUCUGUAAUCCUGAGGGGACCACCAGUGGCGAAGGCGUCUAGCUAGAACGGGUCUGACGGUGAGGGACGAAGCCCUGGGGCGCAAACCGGAUUAGAUACCCGGGUAGUCCAGGGUGUAAACGCUGCUUGCUUGAUGUUAGUUGGGCUCCGAGCCCAAUUAGUGUCGGAGAGAAGUUGUUAAGCAAGCUGCCUGGGAAGUACGAUCGCAAGAUUGAAACUUAAAGGAAUUGGCGGGGGAGCACAGCAACGGGUGGAGCGUGCGGUUU